UCAUUAUGAGAGGGCUGCCUUUCCAAGGGAGGCACUGAGAGGAAUUUUCCACUUCUCUCCCCCUUCUCGCUUGCAUAGCAGCAAUCUCAUUUCAGUAUAAGACCAGGAUCCUAACAUCAGUGGCUUUGGGCAUCUGCUAAUAAGGAACAAGCAACUUCCAGGAGCAGGAGACAACAGGUGCAUUAAAAAACUCUUCCAAGAAAGAAAACCUGACACGUGUUUCCAGGAGGGAAGGUACCUGCUGUAACUAAGGCAUCUUUUCCAGGUUUGGAGUUGGAGGGUCACUGUUGCUGAAGAGUGGCAGCUACAGAGGUCUGAACUGGUCCUGCACUGAGGGCACGUAAUUCUCUUGCAGAUCCUGCAAGUUCCUCUCUAACAUCCUACGUCUGAAUGUCACCUAUUUCUUUGGGACUGGAGAAAGGGCAUUACUUGUAAGAACAGCUUUAUUUGAAAUAAAGAUUUAAAGUGC